CACGUAGGGCGCAAGCGUUGUCCGGAAUUAUUGGGCGUAAAGAGCUCGUAGGCGGUCUGUUACGUCUGCUGUGAAAACCCGGGGCUUAACCCUGGGCUUGCAGUGGAUACGGGCAGACUAGAGGCAGGUAGGGGAGAAUGGAAUUCCCGGUGUAGCGGUGAAAUGCGCAGAUAUCGGGAGGAACACCGGCGGCGAAGGCGGCAUCCUGGACCGACACUGACACUGAGGAGCGAAAGCCAGGGGAGCAAACGGG
rnacentral:rRNA from 1 species